AUUGAACGCUGGCGGCAGGCCUAACACAUGCAAGUCGAACGAGUGGCGGACGGGUGAGUAAUGUCUGGGAAACUGCCCGAUGGAGGGGGAUAACUACUGGAAACGGUAGCUAAUACCGCAUACCAUCGGAUGUGCCCAGGUGGGAUUAGCUAGUAGGUGGGGUAACGGCUCACCAAGGCGACGAUCUGUAGCUGGUUUGAGAGGAUGACCAGCCACACCGGGACUGAGACACGGCCCAGACUCCUACGGGAGGCAGCAGUGGGGAAUUUUGGACAAUGGGGGCAACCCUGAUCCAGCCAUCCCGCGUGUGUGAUGAAGGCCUUCGGGUUGUAAAGUUCUUUUGGCGGCGAGGCGGUACCUGCAGAAUAAGCACCGGCUAACUACGUGCCAGUCGCCGCGGUAAUUC
rnacentral:rRNA from 1 species